AAAAAAACACCCUAUGGGUUCAGCUAGCCCCACCCUGCUAUACCUGCAGCCAAUGCCAGGCCUGGAGAGGGGAGAAAAGAAGGGAGCCUGGCAGGGCUGGUGCUUCCACUAGGCAACCCUAGCCGGUCGCCUAGGACGGCAGGAUUGGGGGGGGGGGGCAUUUUGCCGCCCUUGCAGAAAUUUGGCAAUGGGGGUCCUUCCGCUCUGGGUCUUCGGCAGAAAUUCAGCGGUGGGUCCUUCUCUUGCUCCAGGACCUGCCGCCGAACGCUCAGAGGAGGAGCGCUGCCACCUAGGAUGGCAAAAACCCUGGCACCGCUCCUUGAGCCUGGCUCAGUUGGGGACUCACUGGCGAGGAGGCAGGAGCCUACAUGAAGGUGGAGAUCUGCGACUUGCCAACCAAUGCAGCCACUGGAGGCAAAUACCAGACAUGGACACAGUAUUCCAGCAGAGGUCGCACCAAUGCCAAAUACAGAGAUGAAAGAACCUGGUAUACUGUUUUCGCAAGACUCAACAGGGCAUCCAUCUUAUUCACUUGACGGAUUCUUCCAAACUUUGCACAUAUAGAGGUAGCCGGGACAGGAAUUAUACUUGAACCACUUGGACUGAAAUUUUUGAUGCCAGGUAUCCGCCUCAAGUGGAUUUAUUUAAAAGUUUCAGCUAAAUUAGUUCAGCCAUUUGUAACAGAUAUUUGUAACAGUUUAGCUACCAGUAAGUUUCCACAGCAGAAUGUAGCACAAAUAUGAAGAAUUCUGGAUGUAAAACAUUCUUUAUAAUAUGCCUUAUUUGCUAUUAGCUACUUUCUUAUCUUAAUAGCACAAUACCCUUUAUUCAAUCACACUGUAGUUACAUCAGUAAAUCAAUUUACACAUUUUGGUUAAUACUAGGGCUGUCAAGCAGUUUAAAAAGAUUAAUCAUGGUAUUAAACAAUACUAGAAUACCAUUUAUUUAAAUACUUUUGGAAGUUUUCUACAUUUUCAAAUAUAUUGAUAUCA